rnacentral:rRNA from 1 species
UGAACAAGGCUGUCCCUAGUACGAGAGGACCGGGAUGGACGUACCUCUGGUAUGCCAGUUGUCACGCCAGUGGCAUGGCUGGUUAGCUACGUGCGGGAGGGAUAACCGCUGAAAGCAUCUAAGCGGGAAGCCGGCUUCGAGAUGAGAUUUCCUUGCCCCUUUGAGGGUGUGAGGCCCCCAGCUAGAACACUGGGUUGAUAGGCUGGAUGUGGAAGCGAGGACUGAAGACUCGUGAAGCUGACCAGUACUAAUAGGCCGAUGACUU